rnacentral:lncRNA from 1 species
AGAGUGGUUGCGGAGCACCGCUGACAAUGAACCAUAAGCACCUAUGGAUAUGGUUGCUGAAUGCCGCGUGGCAUAUUAUGUACUAGGAGUGUGCGGUAUUGGAAAUUAGAUACCAAUUUUCGGUAGGGUUUCGUAUUCGGUAGUUUCGAUUAACCAAAAUUUCGAUAGACUUUAAUCUACAAAUAUCGUCGGAAAAAGAGCGAGGAAAGUCUGUAUUGAACUGUAGUAAAGACCAAUAAUCUAAAUAGUAUUUAGAUUAUGAGCUAUUUCGGUAAUUCGGUAUUUACCGAAGUUUCGAUAUUUCGGUAUCGGUAUUUAACAGAAGGUUCCCAUACCGACACAUUUCGAGGAAGGAGAUACCGAAAUAUCAUGCGCCUCUAGUACGUACGUAUGUACAAAAGUGCGUUGACUGAGUAUAGUCUUCAGUCAACCACAAGUGUAACGAUAUUCAUUUAUGCUACGCACUUCCAGCUACCUAUUUUUGUUCCGAAGCAAAAUGAGACUUCGAUUAUUGUUAUACAAUUUACGUGACAGUGACUGGCCCUAACGUGAGAAAAUCACUGAUCUCUUAUAUAGGUAAAGAGAGAUCAGUGCGGACUGGGCACAAUGAAAUAUGGUAAUACUGGACACUCACUGCCAUGCAUGGCUGAUCGGUGUUCCGGGGAGAGAGAUAACUUGGAGGUGAAGUGCUGUCUCUCUUGCACCGGUAGAGUCUUUCAAAAAGCUUGUAGACAGGAGAUCAGGGGAUCGAUUCUGUAAUUUCAUUUCUAAAAUUUCCCACCAUCCAAGCAUUCUGAUUGUUUGACUAAAUUUUGCAAACCAAUUAGAAUUUUUGGAUGGUGGAAAAUGUCAAAAGUGAAAUUACAAAAUCGUUCCCGAGUACCCCUUUCGCAGGUGUAUUUUUUUUUUUUGGAAAAUUAGUGACAUUACAUUUUCGAUAGUGACUGAGGGUGCAUGUAUUUCUGCGUAGUUGAAACCUUCUUUUAAAAUUGUAUAAAUCUUAUAUUGUAUCGAUCAAGUUAUGUUCACACCCUUUAUGGAUCUUCGAUCUACAAACCAAAGAGGAUUCCUUUUUGCUACAAACCAUACUUUUGAAACCAGCUGCUGCAUCAACGGUGCAGCUGAUUAAUACCGUUAUUGUGUCAACCAGCAACACAUUUUUUAAAUGUGCCAACAUUUAUAUGACAAGGCCUACAUGUUUCAACAAGCAUCCUAAAAAAAAGGAAAAGGGACCUACUCACCUAUGUUAUUUCACGUGAUCAAAAUCUGGUAAAACUUUCUAUCUCAUAAUCAAUGUACCUGUUACGGACUGAAGAAUACAAACAUAUUUAUAUGUUACAAAUUAGGAUUGUUGGGUUAUAAAAGUUAUUGGGCGCACUCAGUCCAUCUGCAUGAAACCAUGUUUAUUUAAACUUAAGGUUAUAAAAGAUUAGAGCGAGGAGCUAUAAAACAAGUACCCUUUUCAUAACAUAUUUGAUUGAAAUUUAAAUAGUGUGCAUGACGUAGUACACUGUUUCAUCACCGGACUGUCUCACGAAUUGCGGGACGUCUGGCAAGCCUCACUAUAAAUAGAUAAUAAUUAUGCUGAAAGGAUCUCAUGAAACGAACCUUCCAACCUACCCAAGGUGACUCUAUAUCUUGUCUUAAUCCUCAGUAGCCUCGAUUUGAGCAUGAAACAUCCGCUGCACAAUGUGCUCUCGUUAUAAUAGACUCUGAAAACCAUGCGAGACACCGAACAAAUAGUAAUACCUAAACUGAAUUCUCUAUUGUCUACUCGAACAGGAAUUACUCAACAAUUAUUUAACAAUCAUUAUAUACAUAUAAUCUCAAAAACAGUGCUGAAUAGAACCAUAAUUCUGCGUAUUUAAUUAAUUGA